ACACUUCAUACUGAAUCAUUCUCUCUCAAGUUAUGCAACUGCACUAUGAGGUCCGAUUAAAAAAGUCCUACUUGAGAUAAAAGCAGUUGCGUGUAUAAACAAAGCUCAGAUUUCUACUGUACUGAUUCUGCUCUAGUGGAGUCUGCAGCACACUUCAUACUUGAUCAUUCUCUUUCAAGUUAUGCAACUGCAUUGAUACCUAGAAUACCAGUAACUUGAGACACUAUGAACUCAUGAUUGAAGAAUAGACAGUCUAGUCCUGCAACAAGGAUUUGAACUAUUGGAAAAAGUUCUAUCCUUUGUCAAAAUGUGCUUCAGAACUCUGCUGGAGAAUGAUUAUUACCCUGGAUGGAUCAUACAUAGCCAGUCUCAAGUCCAGAUAAAAGGGAAGCGUGGCAAUAGGUGACAGCUCAAUAGAUGUAGCCCUAAAUCUAGUAGAAUGGAGGAAAAGAAUCAUAUAGUCAACGCCAACUAGAUUAGGAUAAAAACUUAGUUGAGUUAGAGUUGAUUUUUCCUAAAGAGAAUUCUCAAACUUGCAUAAUCCAAACCAAAAACCAUAAUUUUAAUGGAACUAUGCAUCUAUCAGAUUAUGAUUCAUGACUGUGUUUAUCUCCAACAAAACAGAAAACCCAAUUGGACAUAGAACCUACAAAUUGCAUUAGUUCAUUGAAGUUCAAUACUUUAUUAAGCACCAGUUUUAGGCUUACGCAGCUCGUUAGUCUCAACUAUAGUGCAAUAUUCCUCUCACCCUCUAUAUCAAUUAAAGCUCUUGGGGCAGUUACAAGAGAAUCACAUAAGCUAUUCAUAAAAGCAAAUCAACCAAAGAAAAACAUGGGCGAUAAAGUGCCAAACUUUAACUUUUUAGGCCCAUUAACUUAAAAAUAAAAAUUGUGAGAAAUUAAAGUUCCAUUACUGUAGCCAAAUUCAACCAGCACCCAAAUUUUAGAAAUUACAAUUUUCUCUCAGUAUCUUCACACAUCCAUUACUCAAUGUAAGAGAAGAAUUGCAAAAGCAUGCAUACAUUUUCACACAGAAAAACGAAUCAACAUAAAAGUAGAGACAGA
rnacentral:misc_RNA from 1 species